rnacentral:misc_RNA from 1 species
UACAGAGGUCCCAAGCGUUGUUCGGAUUCACUGGGCGUAAAGGGAGCGUAGGCGGCGAGGUAAGUCAGAUGUGAAAUCCCGGGGCUCAACCUCGGAAGUGCAUCCGAUACUGCCUUGCUAGAGUAGUGGAGUGGCAUCUGGAAUUCACGGUGUAGCAGUGAAAUGCGUAGAUAUCGUGAGGAACACUAGUGGCGAAGGCGAGAUGCUGGACACUUACUGACGCUGAGGCUCGAAGGCCAGGGUAGCGAAAGGG